rnacentral:tRNA from 1 species
GUGGCUCAGUGGUAGAGCUCUUGCCUUGCAUGCAUGAGGCCCUGGGUACGAUUCCUCAGC